GGGAAAGUGGCUCAGUGGUAGAGUGCUUGCCUUGCAUACAUGAGGCCUGGGUUCAAUUCCUCAGUACCA
rnacentral:tRNA from 1 species